rnacentral:tRNA from 1 species
GGGCGAUUAGCUCAGGUGGCUAGAGUGCCUGCUUGACAUGCAGGAGGUCACUGGUUCGAGUCCAGUAUCGCCCACCA